UGCAAGUCGAGCGGACAGAUGGGAGCUUGCUCCCUGAUGUCAGCGGCGGACGGGUGAGUAACACGUGGGUAACCUGCCUGUAAGACUGGGAUAACUCCGGGAAACCGGGGCUAAUACCGGAUGCUUGAUUGAACCGCAGGUUCAAUUAUAAAAGGUGGCUUUUAGCUACCACUUACAGAUGGACCCGCGGCGCAUUAGCUAGUUGGUGAGGUAACGGCUCACCAAGGCAACGAUGCGUAGCCAACCUGAGAGGGUGAUCGGCCACACUGGGACUGAGACACGGCCCAGACUCCUACGGGAGCAGCAGUAGGGAAUCUUCCGCAAUGGACGAAAGUCUGACGGAGCAACGCCGCGGGAGUGAUGAAGGUUUUCGGAUCGUAAAACUCUGUUGUUAGGGAAGAACAAGUACCGUUCGAAUAGGGCGGUACCUUGACGGUACCUAACCAGAAAGCCACGGCUAACUACGUGCCAGCAGCCGCGGUAAUACGUAGGUGGCAAGCGUUGUCCGGAAUUAUUGGGCGUAAAGCGCGCGCAGGCGGUUUCUUAAGUCUGAUGUGAAAGCCCCCGGCUCAACCGGGGAGGGUCAUUGGAAACUGGGGAACUUGAGUGCAGAAAA
rnacentral:rRNA from 2 species